CAAUAGCGUAUAUUAAAGCUGUUGCGGUUAAAAAGCUCGUAGUUGGAUUUCUGCCGAGGACAACUGGUCCGCCCAUUGGGUGAGCACAUAGUUUGGUCUCGACAUCUUGCUGGAAACUGCUACUGUACUUGGCUGUAUGGUACAGAGUCCAGCACUUUCACUUUGAGGAAAUUGGAGUGUUUCAAGCAGGCACAUGCCUUUGGACACAGUAGCAUGGAAUAAUUAGAUUGGGCUUUUGCUCCAACUUGUCGGUUUCUGGAGCUGAGGUGAGAAUUAAUGGGGAUUGUUGGGGGCAUCCGAAUUUAGCCGUCAGAGGUGAAAUUCUUGGAUCUGCUAAAGACGGACAACUGCGAAAGCGUUUGCCCAGGAUGUUUUCAUUGA
rnacentral:rRNA from 1 species